AACGAACGCUGGCGGCAUGCCUAACACAUGCAAGUCGAACGAGACCUUCGGGUCUGGUGGCGCACGGGUUCGUAACGCGGGGGAACCUGCCCUUAGGUUCGGAAUAACUCCCCGAAAGGGGUGCUAAUACCGGAUAAUGUCUUCGGACCAAAGAUUUAUCGCCUUUGGAUGGGCCCGCGUUGGAUUAGCUAGUUGGUAGGGUAAAAGCCUACCAAGGCGACGAUCCAUAGCUGGUCUGAGAGGAUGAUCAGCCACACUGGGACUGAGACACGGCCCAGACUCCUACGGGAGGCAGCAGUGGGGAAUAUUGGACAAUGGGCGAAAGCCUGAUCCAGCAAUGCCGCGUGAGUGAUGAAGGCCUUAGGGUUGUAAAGCUCUUUUACCCGGGAUGAUAAUGACAGUACCGGGAGAAUAAGCUCCGGCUAACUCCGUG
rnacentral:rRNA from 1 species